CUCCUGGGUUUCCCCAGGUACCCUCUGCCCCAUGAUAAAUUUAAUGGCCGCAGUAUUUUGACUGUGCAAAGGUAGCACAAUCACUUGCUCUUUAAUUGGGAGCUGGUAUGAAAGAGGCGACGAAAUCUAGACUGUUCAAGGUGGGCGUAUAAGUUGACAUAAUGGUCAAAAGGCCUUUAUUCACCGGGGGGACGAUAAGACCCUAUAAAACUUAAUUCUCAGGCAAUGGCUGGUAUAGAAGUAGCUUUAGACUAGAAUUAAACUGGGGCGGUUUAUAUAAAAACAAUUGAGAGUGAAAUAUUUUAAGUAGCCGCAAAGAACUUUGUAGUAAAAUAGAACAAGUUACUUUAGGGAUAACAGCAUAAUUCCCCCGGAGAGUACUAAUCGGCGGGGGAGCUUAUGACCUCGAUGUUGAAUUGAG
rnacentral:rRNA from 1 species